GUAGCCCAGUGGUUAGAGCACUCACCUGGGAUGUGGGAGACACAGGUUCAAUUUCCCUGUC
rnacentral:tRNA from 1 species